CGGAUGGUUGUUUGAACCGCAUGGUUCAGGCAUAAAAGGUGGCUUCGGCUACCACUUACAGAUGGACCCGCGGCGCAUUAGCUAGUUGGUGAGGUAACGGCUCACCAAGGCGACGAUGCGUAGCCGACCUGAGAGGGUGAUCGGCCACACUGGGACUGAGACACGGCCCAGACUCCUACGGGAGGCAGCAGUCGGGAAUCUUCCGCAAUGGACGAAAGUCUGACGGAGCAACGCCGCGUGAGUGAUGAAGGUUUUCGGAUCGUAAAGCUCUGUUGUUAGGGAAGAACAAGUGCCGUUCAAAUAGGGCGGCACCUUGACG
rnacentral:rRNA from 1 species